AUGAAUAUGUUCAUGACAUUUGUAAUAAAUGUCUUGAGUAAUAAUUUGUUUCAUGGUUUCCUGGUCAUCACUCAGCUCCCCUAAGUAUGGUAAUGUCUUGGUGAAGGGACAAUGCUCCGUAUCCCAGUUCUGCCGUGUUACUCUCCUGUUUAGUUCUGAGUGGGAAUAUUGCAAACUUACUGUUUCGUAGGCUUAAUCUUCUUCCUUUGCAGUUAAUUUCUCUUAUAGCAUGGAAAUGGGGAUUUUCCUCCCCCCGAAUGGAAUAAUCGUUUGCACCUAUUUGCUUCUCAUCCCAUUUGGCACCUGCUCUGACCCCUACUACAAAAAUAUAGUAAAAAAUACAUACACUCACAAGUGCAGACAAAACAGCUGUUUGUACACACCCACAAAGACAGGAUAAGCUGGGAAAGCCUCACUUGUUUUGGAGGAACAGGGGAUGAAAAUGGAUGUGCCAUUUCUCAGGUGUCUGGGAAACGGUUCCCGGGGAGUGAACCGCCAGACCACCUUCGGCAAAAACGGCAAAACGAGUCAGGGACUUGUGAAAAGCAGGUUUCAAAGGGCAAUCCCAGGGAGCCUGGAACCUUCUCACUGGGCGGUGGCCUGGCCUUGGAGCUGGUUCUGCGGAACGAGCUCUGCGGAGGGAGCAAAGCCCCUGGCCUCCAACGGGCAGAGCGCAAGCCGAGGCGGGGACACUGUGGCAGGUGGACCCGGCUCCGGCGUUAG